ensembl:Mt_rRNA
UUUGCCCUACCUCUAGCCCAACCAACAAAUCUUCAAAAAAUCCAAAAUCACCUCACACAGUUUAAUUAAAACAUUUAAUCUUAUCCUAGUAUAGGCGAUAGAACCGACCCGAGGCGCAAUAGAGACCAACCGUACCGUAAGGGAAAGAUGAAAUAACAAUGAAAAACACAAGCAAAAAGCAGUAAAGACAAACCCUUGUACCUCUUGCAUCAUGAUUUAGCAAGAACAACCAAGCAAAGCGGACUAAAGCUUGCCUUCCCGAAACCCAAGCGAGCUACUUGCGAGCAGCUAAAAUUGAGCGAACCCGUCUCUGUCGCAAAAGAGUGGGAUGACUCGCUAGUAGAGGUGAAAAGCCAACCGAGCUGGGUGAUAGCUGGUUACCUGCCAAACGAAUCUAAGUUCCCCCUUAAUCUCUCCCUAAAGGAUACCACAAUUUAACCCCCUUAUGUAAAGAUUAAGAACAAUUCGACGGAGGUACAGCUCCAUCGAAAAAGAAUACAACCUCCCCCAGCGGAUAAACUAACACUACCUUCCCUCUCUCCGUGGGCCUUCAAGCAGCCAUCAACAAAAGAGUGCGUCAAAGCUCCUCUACUAAAAAUCCAGAUACUAAUUUGAUUCCCUCAUCCAAAGCAGGUCAACCUAUGACAAUAGAAGAAUCAAUGCUAAAAUGAGUAACUUGGAACCUUCCUCUACACAGCGUAGACUUACAUCAACACAUUAUUAACAGACCUAACUUAUACUCACACCACAACAAGAACUCAUAUGUCUAUGAUCUGUUAGCCCAACUCAGGAACGCCCACAAGAUGAUUAAAAUCCGCAAAAGGAAUUCGGCAAACCAAAGACCCGACUGUUUCCCAAAAACAUAGCCUUCAGCAAUCAACAAGUAUUGAAGGUGACGCCUGCCCAGUGACCCGCAACGUUCAACGGCCGCGGUAUCCUAACCGUGCAAAGGUAGCGCAAUCAAUUGUCCCAUAAAUCGAGACUUGUAUGAAUGGCUAAACGAGGUCUUAACUGUCUCCUGCAGAUAAUCAGUGAAAUUAGUAUCCUCGUGCAAAAACGAGAAUGUGACCAUAAGACGAGAAGACCCUGUGGAACUUUAAAAUCACGACCACCCUUAUAAUUACAUUCACCCCACCGGGCACAUCCACACUAACACCCUUGGUCGACAUUUUUCGGUUGGGGCGACCUUGGAGAAAAACAAAACCUCCAAACUUACAGACCACACCUCUUAACCAAGAUCCACCCAUCAAAGUCCUAACAGUAACUAGACCCAAUAUAAUUGAUUAAUGGACCAAGCUACCCCAGGGAUAACAGCGCAAUCUCCUCCAAGAGCCCCUAUCGACAAGGAGGUUUACGACCUCGAUGUUGGAUCAGGACAACCUAAUGGUGUAGCCGCUAUUAAGGGUUCGUUUGUUCAACGAUUAACAGUCCUACGUGAUCUGAGUUCAGACCGGAGUAAUCCAGGUCGGUUUCUAUCUAUGAACACACUCCUCCUAGUACGAAAGGACCGGAGAAGUAGGGUCAAUACCACAAGCACACCCUAACCUUCCAAGCAAUGAACUCAACUUAAUUGCCAAGAAGCUCACCAUCCACUUACACUCCUAGAAAAGGAACA